UACGUAGGGGGCUAGCGUUGUCCGGAAUCAUUGGGCGUAAAGAGCGUGUAGGCGGCCCGGUAAGUCCGCUGUGAAAGUCGGGGGGCUCAACCCUCGAAUGCCGGUGGAUACUGUCGGGCUAGAGUGCGGAAGAGGCGAGUGGAAUUCCUGGUGUAGCGGUGAAAAUGCGUAGAUAUCCGGAGGAACACCGGUGGCGAAGGCGGCUUCCUGGACCGACACUGACGCUGAGGCGCGAAAGCGUGGGGGAGCGAACAGG
rnacentral:rRNA from 1 species